rnacentral:tRNA from 1 species
GGAAUGGUGGUUCAGUGGUAGAAUUCUUCACUUCCAUAUAGAGACCCAGGUUUAAUUCCUGGCCAGUGCA